rnacentral:rRNA from 1 species
UACGUAGGUGGCAAGCGUUGUCCGGAUUUAUUGGGCGUAAAGCGCGCGCAGGUGGUGGGGUAAGUCUGCCGUGAAAUCUCCCGGCUCAACUGGGGGGCUGCGGUGGAGACUGCCGCACUUGAGGUACCUAGAGGUCUGUGGAAUUCCCGGUGUAGUGGUGAAAUGCGUAGAGAUCGGGAGGAACACCAGUGGCGAAGGCGGCCGGCUGGGGGUGACCUGACGCUGAGGCGCGAAAGCGUGGGGAGCGAACCG